rnacentral:rRNA from 1 species
UGGGGAAUAUUGCACAAUGGGCGAAAGCCUGAUGCAGCAACGCCGCGUGCGGAUGACGGCCUUCGGGUUGUAAACCGCUUUCAGCAGGGACGAAGGUUUUCUGAUGGUACCUGCAGAAGAAGCACCGGCUAACUACGUGCCAGCAGCCGCGGUGAUACGUAGGGUGCGAGCGUUGUCCGGAAUUAUUGGGCGUAAAGAGCUUGUAGGCGGUCCGUUGCGUCGGAAGUGAAAACUCAGGGCUUAACCCUGAGCCUGCUUUCGAUACGGGCGGACUUGAGGGAUGUAGGGGAGAACGGAAUUCCUGGUGGAGCGGUGGAAUGCGCAGAUAUCAGGAGGAACACCAGUGGCGAAGGCGGUUCUCUGGACAUUUCCUGACGCUGAGAAGCGAAAGCGUGGGGAGCAAACAGGCUUAGAUACCCUGGUAGUCCACGCCGUAAACGGUGGGCACUAGGUGUGGGACCCAUUCCACGGGUUCCGUGCCGCAGCUAACGCAUUAAGUGCCCCGCCUGGGAGU